AAUGGUAGUGGUAAUGGUAGUGGUAAUAGUAGUGGUUAUGGAGGUGUUAAUGGAGGUGUUAAUGGAGGUGUUAAUGGAGGUGUUAAUGGAGGUGGUAAUGGAGGUGUUAAUGGAGGUGUUAAUGGAGGUGGUAGUGAACAUAUGUUUAUUUAUAAUAAUGUACAAAACGAAAUGUAUAGAGAUCCAAAUUUUCAUCGUAACGUAGAUAUAAAUUAUACUAGAGAUAUAAAUAUACCUAACACAAAUAAUUCGAAAGAUGUAAAAAAUAAUAAUACAUUUGGAGAUAAUAUAGUAGUAAAAAAUAAUAUGAGAAAAGAAAGUAUAAAAUCUUUUAUAAAUAGUAAUAAUUUUAAUAAAAAAAAUCUACAUCUAGUAAUAAUGAUACAUUUGUAACAGGUCAUGAUCAAGUUAACAACAACACCUCUGUAAAUAUUAUUUCUGACCCUACUACAUCGGGUAAUAUAUCAAAUAUGUCCAUGGGAAAAAACAUAAUGAAUAAUAUUAAUAAGAAAGAAAAUACAACACAGAGGGAUAUAAAUAAUAAUAUAUUUAGUACUGGUAUUAAUAUGAUGAAAACAUCCGUUAACAACAAUUUAGAAAAUAAUACAACUAAUACUAUGAAUAAUUAUAUUGAUGGAAUGAAUAGUAAUAACAACAAAAACAUAUCAACUCUCGCUACGAACAAUAGUACUGAUAAUAAUAAUAAUGGCGAUAGUUCUAGUAUAAAUAAUAACAACAGUAAUAACAAUAAUAAUAACAGUAAUAACAAUAAUAAUAACAGUAAUAACAAUAAUAAUAAUAAUAGUAAUAGUAAUAUGCAUAGAUACAACCGAUACAUGCCAAACAGAAAUAAUAUAGGUAACCCAUUAUUUAACCAAAUGUAUAAUUUGAAAUUACCUUAUAAUAAUAAUGAUGUUAUAAAUUAUAAUUUUAAUUUACAUAAUUUUUAUCAAAUGGGUUGUGAUAACAACAUGAAUAAAUCAUGGAUGAAUAGAUAUACUGGUUAUAUAGGACCAGUGGAGGUACCUCCUUACAAUAAUAAUCUUAACAGUGGUAACAUUGGCAAUAGUAGUAACAGUGGUAACAUUGGCAAUAGUAAUAACAGUAAUAACAGUAAUAACAGUAGUAAUAAGGAACAUGGGGGAAAUACUAGUGAUAUGAAUAACAAUAUAAACAGUCAAGUUCCUUAUAAUUCAUACAAUAUCCAUACACAAUCUAAUAAAAACAUAAAUGGUUUACAAACAAGUGGACGAACUAACUAUACAACGAAAGAAUCUAAUGGAAAUAAUUUAUCGACAUUUUAUUUAUAUAAUAAUGUAAAAAAUCAAAAUAAUGUAAAUGGUGUUGAACUGACAAAUAAACCAAGUACUGGAAUAAUUGAUAAUAUAAUAAAUAGUUUAAAUAACAAUACGAAUAAUAACAUACCUUCUGAUCAAACUAAUUCUUAUACUGGUUCAAAUAAAAAUGAGAAUAUAUCAUUAUGCACAAAUAAUGGAAAUGUAGGUAGUGAUAAUGUAUGUAGUGACAAUGUAUGUAGUGACAAUGUAGGUAGUGACAAUGUAGGUAAUGACAAUGUAGGUAAUGACAAUGUAGGUAAUGACAAUGUAGGUAAUGACAAUGUAGG
ensembl:lncRNA